rnacentral:rRNA from 1 species
GUGGGGAAUAUUGGGCAAUGGGCGAAAGCCUGACCCAGCAACGCCGCGUGAGUGAUGAAGGUUUUCGGACUGUAAAGCUCUGUUGUUUAGGACGAAAGUGCCUGUUGCAAAUAGUUACAGGUAUUGACGGUACUGAACGAGGAAGCCACGGCUAACUACGUGCCAGCAGCCGCGGUAAUACGUAGGUGGCAAGCGUUGUCCGGAAUUAUUGGGCGUAAAGAGCAUGUAGGCGGGAAUCUAAGUCUGUUGUGAAAAUGCGGGGCUCAACCCAGUAUUGCGAUGGAAACUGGGUUUCUUGAGUGCAGGAGAGGAAAGGGGAAUUCCCAGUGUAGCGGUGAAAUGCGUAGAUAUUGGGAGGAACACCAGUGGCGAAGGCGCCUUUCUGGACUGUGUCUGACGCUGAGAUGCGAAAGCCAGGGUAGCGAACGGGAUUAGAAACCCGGGUAGUCC